UACGUAGGGCGCAAGCGUUAUCCGGAAUUAUUGGGCGUAAAGAGCUCGUAGGCGGUUUGUCGCGUCUGCUGUGAAAACCCGAGGCUCAACCUCGGGCUUGCAGUGGGUACGGGCAGACUAGAGUGCGGUAGGGGAGAUUGGAAUUCCUGGUGUAGCGGUGGAAUGCGCAGAUAUCAGGAGGAACACCGAUGGCGAAGGCAGAUCUCUGGGCCGUAACUGACGCUGAGGAGCGAAAGCAUGGGGAGCAAACAGG
rnacentral:rRNA from 1 species